GAAAUUUGCCAAGAUUUAUUUAUAUGGAACUUAUCAGAGUCUUCCAUACACUAAUGAGCAACAUAAUUCUUCCUGAGUGGGAAAAGAGCAUGCUUACUUGAGUAAUACAUCACAAGAUCAUCUAUGAUGAGAAAUCAAGAUUCAAGGAAUUUUGCUAAACAAGGAAUUCUGUCUGGCACUGGAGAGCUACAGGAAAGGGGGUCUGACAUCAUGUGAGAUGUUCCCUAAAACAUUAUGGACAACACUUAAGAUCCUGUGGAAUUUUCUAUCACCUUUUCCCAGAAAUGGAUAUAGAUAUAUAAUCUCUGACAGCUACUUUUCCAUCUGCUUUUCAAGUCAUUAAUGUAUAAGAUGCUAUCUUUGCUGGGACAUUUUCUCCUUUGCACAAAUGUUCUCAGUCCAUCGGAGCACUCUAAUCAAGAGGUCUUCACUAAGAUAUUUUCAACUCUCCAGGGACAGCAUAAAGGUCUCACGUCAACAAAACACCCUCUUUAGUCCCAGCAACCCACCCUCCUUUUAAAAUAUGUUUUAGUUACUGAUGGACAUACUACCUUUAUUUAUUUAUUUUUAUGUGGUGCUGAGAAUCGAAUCCAGUGCCUCACACGUGCUAGACAAGUGCUCCACCACUGAUCCACAAGAUCAGCUCCCCCGCCCCGCCCCCUCCCCUUUUCCUCUUUCACACACUGUCCUCAUUUUCAUCGGGAAAACAAGGAGAUGUGUUGAUUUGCUCCCCACAGGCCAUUGUGGCAUGGGCCUAUCUGCACACUUGUGCCUUGUCUUAGUAUGUUUGUGCUGCUACAACAAAAUCCCUAAACUGUGCAGUAUAUAAAGAAAGUCAUAAAGUCCAAGAUGAAGGCACCAGUCAGUAUUUGGUCUGAUGAGAGCGCUCUUGCUGUGUCUUUGCAUGGCAGAGGCAGAAAGGCCAGCCAGCCAGUGCUGUAGGAAACCUUUUUUAUAAAGGCCUUAAUGCCCUUCCUGAAGGAGAAGGUCUUGUGACCUGUUCCCCUUUUUAGGUCCCCACCUCUCAAUAGGAUCACAUUGGCAACACCUGGAGUUUGGAAAGGACACAUUCAAACCAUAGCACCUCCCUACUUCCACCUUCCUUCAGUUAUUCUAACUUUCUUCUUCCUGUCAUGCAGUCUUAACCAAAGACAGAUGCUUUUUUGUAAAAUCUCCUCCCCUCCUCUCUUUUCUGAUACUUUUCCUGCUCUUGCAUAGGCACCUUCAGCCUCUCCUGGGAGGCAUUUUCCCCAGGGCCUGAAGACCAGCUCUUCUAUCUAGGCCAUAGCAUAUUCCCACCCUCCCAGUCCUUUAUUUGUGACAAGCCCAGAGCUGAGCUGAUGGCCCGUCCAGCUGGUCAUUAGUGGUCACAGCCCAGAUAAAGGAGUAAAUACACUCAUAAUUUGCAAAUUAUGGUAUAAGUGAGGCAAUUCAGGCUUCCACAGUUAUGAGCCCUGCAGUUAUGACAAUCAGGACCUACCCCAAACCAUGGGGAAUUGCUGACUUCAGAUUACCUAAAGGAAAAACCUUUGGAGGGGAGGAUUAGAGGCAUUAUGAAGCACCUGUCAGGUGU
rnacentral:lncRNA from 1 species